GACUUACUCCCUCGUCCGAAAAAUCUUGUCCUUCAAAUGUAUGUAUCUAGCACCAAAUUAAUGCUAGAUACAUCCAUUCGAGGGACAAGUUUGAGACAAGUUUUUUCGGACGGAGGAAGUAUCUU
rfam:Triticum aestivum genome assembly, contig: Triticum_aestivum_CS42_TGACv1_scaffold_423585_5BS